UACAGAGACUGCAAGCGUUAUUCGGAUUCACUGGGCGUAAAGGGCGCGCAGGCGGCCAAGUGUGUCAGGCGUGAAAGCCCGGGGCUUAACCCCGGAAUUGCACCUAAAACUACAUGGCUAGAGCAUUGGAGAGGGUAGCAGAAUUCAUGGUGUAGCAGUGAAAUGCGUAGAUAUCAUGAGGAAUACCAGAGGCGAAGGCGGCUACCUGGACAAUUGCUGACGCUCAGGCACGAAAGCGUGGGGAGCAAAAGGG
rnacentral:rRNA from 1 species